UACAGAGGGUGCGAGCGUUGUUCGGAAUUAUUGGGCGUAAAGGGCGCGUAGGCGGUGCGGUAAGUCACCUGUGAAAUCUCCUGGCUCAACUGGGAGCUUGCAAGCGAAACUGCCGUGCUGGAGUGUGGGAGAGGUGCGUGGAAUUCCUGGUGUAGCGGUGAAAUGCGUAGAUAUCAGGAGGAACACCUGUGGCGAAAGCGGCGCACUGGACCACAACUGACGCUGAGGCGCGAAAAGCUAGGGGAGCAAACAGG
rnacentral:rRNA from 1 species